AAAUCCCCGGGCUUAACCUGGGAACUGCAUUCGAAACUGCUUUGCUAGAAUGUGGAAGAGGGAAGCGGAAUUCCAGGUGUAGCGGUGAAAUGCGUAGAUAUCUGGAGGAACAUCAGUGGCGAAAGCGGCUUCCUGGUCCAACAUUGACGUUCAGGUGCGAAAGCGUGGGGAGCAAACAGGAUUAGAUACCCUGGUAGUCCACGCCAUAAACGAUGAGAACUAGAUGUCGGAGGGGUAAGCCCUUCGGUGUCGCAGCUAACGCGUUAAGUUCUCCGCCUGGGGAGUACGGCCGCAAGGUGAAACUCAAAGGAAUUGACGGGGACCC
rnacentral:rRNA from 1 species